CAUUGACCCACCACUGCUGCUACUGCGGCCCAUACAUAUAGAGAGAUAAAAAUAGUUGAGAAAAAAGAGGGCAACUUUUUCUGACACUAGAAACUCAGCAUCUCCAAAUGUGGUGGGGAUUUUUUCAGCGCAACGGCAUUAUUAAUGCAUGCAUCCCUUCAGGACCCAAUCGGAGACCCAAUUGUCAGUGACAGUAGUGUUUCUACUCUUUUCACAUUCCUUUGCAAUAAGAAAAACUCUGCAACCGGGGUAUAUCUCCGGUGCGUCCUCGGCUCCUACGUGGCAGUCAUAAUGUAAAUGACGCCGUUUACAUUAUGACUUUGGCUCGAUGGGUAUCCCCCCCCCCCCAGACAUCCCCCACGAACCCUAACCCUAACCCCUGUCGGCUCCCUCUCAUCUCUCCUUUCUCAUCAUAAAAGGUCACCCGACGCUAGCUUUGAGGAGCCCUAACCCAGAGAACCCAUUUGACGGCGACACGAACCCUAACCCAAGCCACUCGGCCUCCCUCUCCCUUCGUCCUCCCAGAGAGCCGUGAACCCACUCAGUCUUCUCCCGUGUCCUCCCCCAAACCUCCAUCCAAUUGUCUUCACCCCCUUGAGGCCGCGACGGGACACGAACCCGAGAAGCAGGAAUCUUCUCGGAGAACCCAGGGGUUCAUCUUAGAAUGUCAAAAUCAUCUUCAUCAAUAUCUUCGUCAUCUUUUCCCAAACGUACUUUGGGAAAAGAAUUGUGCUUCUGCGAGCUAGAAGCCACAUUAAAAUGGUCAACUACUACAAAAAAUCCUAGACGGGCCUUCUUAGGGUGUUCAAAGUAUAAUACGCAGGGCUUACCAUACUGUAAGUUUUUCAAGUGGUUAGAUGGUAAUGAAGUGACUGAGUUACAAUAUAGAGAAAGGAUUGAUGAAUUGUUAAAGAAAGAGAGAGAUGUCGAGAAGCUACUUGAGCUGCUCGGAAAGAGGGAGAUCGAGCUCCGUAAGAUAGUGGAACGCCUCGAGAGGGUGCAGAUGGUGCUGUCCAAUAAAAGCGACGAGGUUAUGCAAAAGGAGUUGGUGCUUAACGCACAAGAAGCUAAAAGAAGGCGUUGGAGCACGCUGCUUUGGAUUUAUUGUUGUGCAGUAUUUUUACAUGCUUUUUACCUAGUUUUAUAUAAGUAAUUUGGGAUUGUUGUUAGUAGUCAUGUGUUUAGGUAUUUUGGGAAUUAUUUUGAUGUUUAUACAAAGUGGAAUUGUGGAAGUUGUUGAUCAAUGUGUUAAAUAUGUGACUGUUUGCACUUUAUGUACUGUUUUAUAUGUGGAUAUGGAUGUGAAAGAUAGGUUGAAGGAACUUUUUUAAUCAUUAA